rnacentral:rRNA from 1 species
UACGGGGGGAUGCAAGUGUUAUCCGGAAUAAUUGGGCGUAAAGCGUCUGUAGGUGGUUGACCAAGUCUGUUGUUAAAAAUCAGGGCUUAACCCUGAUCCGGCAACAGAAACUAGUAAACUUGAGUACGGUAGGGGCAGAGGGAAUUCUCGGUGUAGUGGUGAAAUACGUAGAUAUCGAGAAGAACACCAAUAGCGAAAGCACUCUGCUGGGCCGAAACUGACAUUGAGAGACGAAAAGCUAGGGGAGCAAAAGGG